GGGCGGUUAGCUCAGUUGGUUAGAGCACUUGCUCGACACGCAAGAGGCCAGUGGUUCGAGUCCACUACCGCCCACCA
rnacentral:tRNA from 2 species